UACUGUCCGAUAUAAAGAGAAAAAUGACCCAAGAGCAAUGCUAAUGCUAAAACUACUUGGCCUCAUGCCUCUGUACCCAGCAGAAUAAACGUAAUUGGCCUCAUGCCUCUGUAAAAGGAGAAAGAAUGAACCUGACAAUGUACAAUAUCCUUUCAAAUUAUCAUUUCAAAGGAGAAAGAAUGACCCCAUAGAAAACAAUGGCUUACAGUUCCAAGACAUCUGCAUAUGUAAAAGACAAUUUCACUAACAGUUUAUUGCUGCACUAACAUCUUUC
rnacentral:lncRNA from 7 species